CCUACGGGAGGCAGCAGUGGGGAAUAUUGCGCAAUGGGCGAAAGCCUGACGCAGCGACGCCGCGUGAGGGAUGAAGGUCUUCGGAUCGUAAACCUCUGUUAGCAGGGAAGAACGGUCACUGUGCUAAUCAGCAGUGAAUUGACGGUACCUGCAAAGGAAGCACCGGCUAACUCCGUGCCAGCAGCCGCGGUAAUACGGCGGGUGCGAGCGUUAAUCGGAAUUAGUGGGCGAAGAGGGCUCGUAGGCGGUAUGUCAAGUCAAGGGUGAAAUCCCCGGGCUCAACGUGGGAACUGCCUUUGAAACUGUCAAACUGGAGUGUGUGAGAGGAUAGUGGAAUUCCUGGUGUAGGAGUGAAAUCCGUAGAUAUCAGGAGGAACACCAGUGGCGAAGGCGACUAUCUGGCACAUUACUGACGCUGAGGAGCGAAAGCGUGGGUAGCAAACAGGAUUAGAUACCCCUGUAGUC
rnacentral:rRNA from 1 species